CCUGGCCCGGCUGGCUGGCUCUCUGCUCCACCCCGAGGGCACCACGCAGUCACGGGAAGGCGCACUGAAGCAGCGAGGGCCCCCUCGGUUAGCACUGGAAAAUCGGUUCCUAGAAUUUGACCAGUGAAUCAUAGUGAAGAAAUGCAAACUCGAGUGCAUUUCUUGUUUUUCCUCCUUCCCCUUGAGAGAUGGCGGCCCUCGCUGGGCCGCACCCCACCCCACGCAGACGCGGAAGGAGAUAGCACCCUCCAGCCUCAUCAGGAAUGGGUAAACCUGACCCCAGCCCAGCUUGUCCAGUUGCCUGUCAGGCAACAUAAGCUCUGGGAUGCCCCCAGGACAACCAAGCUGAUCCAGUCAAGGAAGCACAUUCUAGGAGACGAAACAGCAUGUGCAAAGGCCCUGGGGAAGAAAAGGGGACCUGAAGUGAGGGAAACUUUGCAGGGCAAGAUCUGCGGAGCCAUGGGGGCACAAAUGCCCAUGUUUCCACAGGGGAGUCAGACCCUAAACCCCACCAUUCCCCAUCAGGUGCCAGCUAACUCAGGCCCCAUGCCUUCUCACAGACUCCUGGUCUGAAGGAGGAAGAAAGGACUAGCACCCCCCUGCCCACCCCACCAGCUGGCAGAGCAGACACGACAGCCCAGGACCCCGGGAGGCAGGAGGCGGUGAGCCUCCAUCUCCAGCCCGGAAGCUUCUUUCGAAGAACAGCAAGGCAUGACGGGCCUCCGUCUGUCUCCCUCCUGCUCUCCAUCACCGCCCCUCCCCUCCGGGGCGUGCAUCCCAGCGCGCCCGCCCAUCCUGCGGGGCUCCAGCUGCCCGGGGUGGUCGAGCUUAGGCCUGGCUUUCAUCAAAUGCUGCCCAUCCCAAAGG
rnacentral:lncRNA from 1 species